rnacentral:rRNA from 1 species
CCCUUAGAUGUCCUGGGCCGCACGCGCGUUACACUGAUGCAUUCAACGAGCUUAUAACCUUGGCCGAGAGGCCUGGGCAAUCUUGUUAACGUGCAUCGUGAUAGGGAUAGAUUAUUGAAAUUAUUAAUCUUGAACGAGGAAUUCCUAGUAAACGCAGAUCAUCAAUCUGCAUUGAUUACGUCCCUGCCCUUUGUACACACCGCCCGUCGCACCUACCGAUUGGAUGGUCCGGUGAAGCCUCGGGAUUGGCGCGCACCUCGGUGCCGCCGAGAAGUUGGCUAAACCUUACCAUUUAGAGGAAGGUGAAGUCGUANCA